rnacentral:lncRNA from 1 species
GGACUUAAUAAACUGGAGCCAAUGUCAAACGAAGCCUUAGCUAUGCAUGGGUGACCACAAUAUUAUUCUAGCAGUGGAAGAUAGAAUAAAUAAUAGCUCAAUACAAGAAAAUGAAAUUAAAGACUUCAAAGAAUUCCUAACAAAUACAAUAAUGUGUGAGAUGAUAAUAGUAGGAAGGAUUAUACAUGGACUAACUUACAUGUAUUCAGUAGAAUAGACAGGGCAAUAGUAAAUACAAAAUGGGUAACUAAUAUGCCACACGCAGAUGCUGUGAUUAUGAUCCUCUCUUCUCGGAUCAUUCCCUUUGUGUGUUAAGCUUGGAGAAGAACCAAAGACCUCAAUGCCGUUUAGGUUCUUCAAUUUUCUGGUUGAGCAUAAGGAUUUUCUUCCAGUAGUAACAGAAGCAUGGAAUAAAUCACCACAAGCAGGAAAUAUGGUAGGAAUCUGGAGAAAAUUGAAAAAUAUUUAGAUUUGAGGGUUAAAAAUGCUAGACAAAAGCUACAUGAAGUUCAGCAAUAGAUGAGAACUACAAGCAUAUCAUCACAAAAGUUUGAAGAAGAGAAAGAACUGAAACAACAGCUAGAGAAAUGAACUAUAGAAGAAAGCAUAUAUAAACAGAAAUCUAUAAAUCACUGGCUGAAGUUGGGAGAUUCUAAUACUGCAUUCUUCUUUGCCAGCAUGAAGAACAGAAUAAGCCACAAUAAAAUCAGGAGCUUGAAGACUAAUGAUGGAGAAAUAAUUCAAUCUGGGAGUGAAAUAGAAAAGGAAAUAGCGAAAUUUUAUAAAAGGGUUAUUAGGAUUUGCAUCUGAUAUCGUACCAGCCAUACAACCAACUAUUAUGAAGGAGGGAAAUGUACUAUAUAGGAGGUAACAAUUGAAGCUAAUAGAACCUGUUACUGCAGAGGAAAUUCAAAAUGCUCUAAAGGAGAUAGAUGAUCAAAAGGCUCCAGGAUGUGAUGGAUUCAAUUAAAAGUUAUUUAAGAAGACAUGGGGUAUCACAGGUCAAGGCAUAUCUAAGGCAAUGCUUCAGUUCUUCAACACAUCUAAAAUGCAUCUGCCCAUUAAUGUAACAAUUGUUACAUUAACAAGGUUCAGCAUCCUUCAACAAUCAAAUAUUUACGACCUAUUUCUUGUUGCAUAGUGUUAUACAAGAUUAUUUCAAAAAA